CAGGCUUGACCCUUCCAGCACCCCAGCUUCAGUGCUCCGCCCCACAUGGCCCGAGAGCUCUGGCCCCGCCUCUUACAGGCCACGCUCCUGCGCCCUUCACUCCGCCCAGUACGGGCCGGGCCCUCGUAGCUCAAGAGCGUGCCCCUGGCUCCGCCCUUCGCGGGGCCAGCGUUCUUGCUCGUCCCAAUAGGCCACGCCCCCAACAGGCUCUCACAGUCCAGGCCCCGCCUCUGCUGCCCCUUAAGAUCUCUAGCCCCGCCCCUCGAGGCCCCCUUGGAGCUGCAAGCUCAGUAUCUGUGCAGCUGCGGCAGUGGGGGCCUACGUGCUCCGCAGGCGGAGGGCCUGUUGCAGGCCGCCUGCCUGGCGCCUCUGCAAGGUCUUCCUCCCUCGGUGCAGCUCCGAUCCGCUGCGGGAGAAGGAAACGACCCUGAGAGAAACCCGACUGAAGGUGGGAGGUUGACGCCACGGAAACAUCUGCCUCCCCAGUCCCAACGGUCUUCCCCCACCCAGUGAAUCUGAGCUGAACCGCUGCUUUCGGAUCGAGCUUCUGCGGCCCACUGAGGCUGCUGGGCUUUUGGGGGGAGAGGCCACAACAGUUGGACUUCGGCACGGCCCCCACAGGAGGGGCCUCGAUUUUCUUCCCAGCUCAUUUGCGUUUGGGGGAGCCUCCCGCCUUCACUCGCUACCACAGAGGGACGAGGCAAGGGCCUUUAU
rnacentral:lncRNA from 1 species